AACGAACGCUGGCGGCACGCCUAACACAUGCAAGUCGAGCGCGCCCUUCGGGUGAGCGGCGGACGGUUAGUAACGCGUGGGAACGUACCCUUCUCUACGGAAUAGCCAUUGGGAACGAUGAGUAAUACCGUAUACGCCCGUUUGGGGGAAAGUAUUUAUCCGGAGAAGGAUCGGCCCGCGUUAGAUUAGAUAGUUGGUGGGGUAAUGGCCUACCCAAGUCUACGAUCUAUAGCUGGUUUGAGAGGAUGAUCAGCAACACUGGGACUGAGACACGGCCCAGACUCC
rnacentral:rRNA from 1 species